CACCGCCCGUCACACCAUGAAAGUUGUCUGUACCAGAAAAUGCUUUAGCUAACCAUUACGGAGGCGAGCAUCAAAGGUAUGGGGGAUGAUUGGGGUG
rnacentral:rRNA from 1 species